rnacentral:rRNA from 1 species
GAUGAACGCUAGCUACAGGCUUAACACAUGCAAGUCGAGGGGAAACGAUAUUGGAAGCUUGCUUCCGAUAGGCGUCGACCGGCGCACGGGUGAGUAACGCGUAUCCAACCUGCCCAUCACUUGGGGAUAACCUUGCGAAAGUAAGACUAAUACCCAAUGACGUCUCUAGAAGACAUCUGAAAGAGAUUAAAGAUUUAUCGGUGAUGGAUGGGGAUGCGUCUGAUUAGCUUGUUGGCGGGGUAACGGCCCACCAAGGCGACGAUCAGUAGGGGUUCUGAGAGGAAGGUCCCCCCACAUUGGAACUGAGACACGGUCCAAACUCCUACGGGAGGCAGCAGUGAGGAAUAUUGGUCAAUGGACAGAGUCUGAACCAGCCAAGUAGCGUGCAGGAAGACGGGCCCUAUGGGUUGUAAACUGCUUUUAUAAGGGAAUAAAAGUGAGUCUCGUGAGACUUUUUGCAUGUACCUUAUGAAUAAGGACCGGCUAAUUCCGUGCCAGC